rnacentral:rRNA from 1 species
UGCAGGCUGAAACUCGCCUGUANGAAGAUGGAGUUGCUAGUAAUCGCGAAUCAGAAUGUCGCGGUGAAUACGUUCCCGGGUCUUGUACACACCGCCCGUCACACCAUGAGAGUUGGCAACACCCGAAACCUGUGGGCUAACCGAAAGGAGGCAGCAGUCUAAGGUGGGGUCAGUGAUUGGGGUGAAGUCGUAACAAGGUAGC